AGUCGCGUGAUAAGCACAAAGCGAAUUAUUCUUCCGCCUUUUACUAAAGAAUACCGUGUGCGUUCCACUUAUAGCGACAUACUCCAAUUUUUUAAGGGAUUCUCUUUUCUAAGAAAU